rnacentral:rRNA from 1 species
UACGUAGGGUACAAGCGUUGUCCGGAAUUAUUGGGCGUAAAGAGCUCGUAGGCGGUCUGUUGCGUCGGCUGUGAAAACCCGGGGCUCAACUCCGGGCCUGCAGCCGAUACGGGCAGACUAGAGUUCGGCAGGGGAGACUGGAAUUCCUGGUGUAGCGGUGAAAUGCGCAGAUAUCAGGAGGAACACCGGUGGCGAAGGCGGGUCUCUGGGCCGAUACUGACGCUGAGGAGCGAAAGCGUGGGGAGCGAAUGGG